AAACUCUACACAAAUGCCAAUGACAACGUUCAAUAUGCGUGCUCGUGUGACUCGUGCAGAGGGCCCUCAGGAAGACUGCUCUGAUAGCACUGAGUAAUCCCAAGGUCUACAAUGGGUGGUGCCUGAUGUACAUUGAGUUCAUCUUUGUAGAAGCUGUUGGCGACACGCACAGAGGCCACGGAUGAUGAAACAAGGACCGCAAUGGCUUUAAAAUUAAAACGGGCUCCAGCGCUGAGUAGCAAAGGGGGCUAUCAAAAGCCCACAAGAGAGUGAUGUUUAUAUUGCUGUGUUUCGCCGAGCUGGUUGUUUUGUUUGAUAUGUCCUACAUAAAAUAUGUAUAUAUUUAUAUUGUAA